UUUGCAUAAGAAUUGAAGGUUGGUUUAAAUAUUCAACAAACCUGCAGUAAGGUGGAUGAGGUGGCAAGUAUUUUUAGCACAUCAUUUUGCAAGAUUAUUAAGUGUGGUUGGGACAUGUAGUAUAUUAUAAGACACCAUUAAAGCUUGCAGAGUUGUAUGAACAAGAAAUAAUGCAUUAGCAACAGUGUUGCAUGGACAUGGGUAUGAGAAUCAGAUUCGUACCUAUAUUCGAGUGUCAGCAAGAGCGGAAAAGGAGAUGCAAAGAUAGGAUGAAGUUUAAUUUCAACUAAAUUACAUAUUCAUAACUUUAAAUAUUGUCUUGAACAUUAAAAAAAAUAUAAAACUG
rnacentral:lncRNA from 1 species